rnacentral:rRNA from 1 species
UACGGAGGGUGCGAGCGUUGUCCGGAAUCACUGGGCGUAAAGGGCGCGUAGGCGGCGCGGGGAGUCAACGGUGAAAGCUCGGCGCUCAACGCCGAGUCGGCCGUCGAUACUCCCCGUGCUCGAGCACUGUAGAGGCAGGUGGAAUUCCGGGUGUAGCGGUGGAAUGCGUAGAGAUCCGGAAGAACACCGGUGGCGAAGGCGGC